rnacentral:rRNA from 1 species
AACGAACGCUGGCGGCAGGCCUAACACAUGCAAGUCGAGCGAGGUAGCAAUACCUAGCGGCGACGGGUUAGUAACGCGUGGGAACGUGCCCAAAGGUACGGAAUAGCCUCGGGAAACUGAGAGUAAUACCGUAUGUGCCCUUCGGGGGAAAGAUUUAUCGCCUUUGGAUCGGCCCGCGUUGGAUUAGGUAGUUGGUGGGGUAAUGGCCUACCAAGCCGACGAUCCAUAGCUGGUUUGAGAGGAUGAUCAGCAACACUGGGACUGAGACACGGCCCAGACUCCUACGGGAGGCAGCAGUGGGGAAUCUUAGACAAUGGGGGAAACCCUGAUCUAGCCAUGCCGCGUGAGCGAUGAAGGCCUUAGGGUUGUAAAGCUCUUUCAGCUGGGAAGAUAAUGACGGUACCAGCAGAAGAAGCCCCGGCUAACUCCGUG